GACGAACGCUGGCGGCGUGCCUAAUACAUGCAAGUAGAACGCACAGUUUAUACCGUAGCUUGCUACACCAUAGACUGUGAGUUGCGAACGGGUGAGUAACGCGUAGGUAACCUGCCUGGUAGCGGGGGAUAACUAUUGGAAACGAUAGCUAAUACCGCAUAAUAUUAAUUAUUGCAUGAUAAUUAAUUGAAAGGUGCAAUUGCACCACUACCAGAUGGACCUGCGUUGUAUUAGCUAGUAGGUGAGGUAACGGCUCACCUAGGCGACGAUACAUAGCCGACCUGAGAGGGUGAUCGGCCACACUGGGACUGAGACACGGCCCAGACUCCUACGGGAGGCAGCAGUAGGGAAUCUUCGGCAAUGGACGAAAGUCUGACCGAGCAACGCCGCGGGAGUGAAGAAGGUUUUCGGAUCGUAAAGCUCUGUUGUAAGAGCAGAACGGGUGUGAGAGUGGAAAGUUCACACUGUGACGGUAUCUUACCAGAAAGGGACGGCUAACUACGUG
rnacentral:rRNA from 1 species